rnacentral:rRNA from 1 species
AUUGAACGCUGGCGGAAUGCUUUACACAUGCAAGUCGAGCGGCAGCGCGGGGACAACCCUGGCGGCGAGCGGCGAACGGGUGAGUAACAUAUCGGAACGUACCCAGUCGUGGGGGAUAACUAUCCGAAAGGAUAGCUAAUACCGCAUACGUCCUGAGGGAGAAAGCGGGGGAUCGCAAGACCUCGCGCGAUUGGAGCGGCCGAUAUCGGAUUAGCUAGUUGGUGGGGUAAAGGCUCACCAAGGCGACGAUCCGUAGCGGGUCUGAGAGGACGACCCGCCACACUGGAACUGAGACACAGUCCAGACUCCUACGGGAGGCAGCAGUGGGGAAUUUUGGACAAUGGGGGCAACCCUGAUCCAGCCAUUCCGCGUGAGUGAAGAAGGCCUUCGGGUUGUAAAGCUCUUUCAGCAGGAACGAAACGGUGGUCCCUAAUACGGACUACUAAUGACGGUACCUGAAGAAGAAGCACCGGCUAACUACGUG